rnacentral:rRNA from 1 species
CAGUCGCCACGGGAAUACGAGGGUGGCAAGCGUUGUUCGGAAUUAUUGGGCGUAAAGGGUGCGUAGGCGGCUUGACAAGUCUUGUGUGAAAUCUUCAGGCUCAACUUGAAGUCUGCAUGGGAAACUGCGGGGCUGGAGUAUGGGAGAGGUGAGUGGAAUUCCUGGUGUAGCGGUGAAAUGCGUAGAUAUCGGAAGGAACACCUGUGGCGGAAGCGGCUCACUGGACAAUAACUGACGCUGAUGCACGAAAGCUAGGGGAGCAAACAGGAUUAGAUACCCCUGUAGUCCCUGUCUCUUAUAC